CUGAUGGCGGUGCAUGGGUGGAAAUCGGUAUCGAUCGCCCAGUGCCUCUGCGAACCGAGAAUGAGGUUCGACCGGGGCAGCGCCUCAACGUCAG
rnacentral:ncRNA from 1 species